AAAGCCAAGAUUGUUCCCAGAAGUGGUGCUGUGAUCUGAUACCCUGCCCCACUCCUCACCAUGUCCAUCCAGCGAUGCAGAACUUUGGUGGGCUCAAGGACAUCCCUCCUGGGACAGUGCAGACUAAAAUCAGAGCAGGAUCAGCUGGUAUCUCGCUUUGGGGAGCUCCAGAGCGAGCCAGAUGACAAAGGGAAUGGCGUGUCCUACCCCUGAGCUGCUGCAUGCAGGUGAAUGGUAAGCCAUGGAAUUAAAGCUUGCUUGCUCUCAGCUCAGACCCUGCUGUCCUCAUGGUGUGAGUGAAGAAGGCUCAAGCAGAUGCUGGUGGUGCUGGAGUGUGUGAGGGUAUUGGAGCCCACCACCCCAUGCAGGAGGGAGAGGUGUUCAACACGC